rnacentral:lncRNA from 1 species
CCACCGCAGCGAAGCAGAAAACAGCGUCUGGGAAACGCGGUCGGAACACCAGAAGGCGGCUUUCCCGAAACAGGUGCACGGGAGCUGCCUGCCCCUCAUGGCUAGACGCAAAGGGGCCAAAAAUGCAACUCUCGAUGAGAGUACGGAACAGAUAAAGCCUUCACGUAUCUUCGGACCAAACCAGCACGAGCACGCGGUGCCUGCAAGGUCGUGUUGUCUCCAUCUCACACACUUCCAUGCUAGAAACAGGCAUCGGGUCCUGGUGAACAGGAUCCCAUCGGCUCCGCACACACAGCCUGGGGGCUGCCUGGGUGCCAUGCAUGCCUCCGUGUCACUCCAACAGCACCGAGCCAUCAAACUUCUGCAUCUUCCACCCGGGAAAGGCAGCCAGAACUCACUGAGCACCCGCAGGCUGGGAGAGCUGCCUGUGAUGCUCCCUCCUAUCAGUACUGUUCAGUUCCCAGCACAGCUCUGCCUGUCCUACCCAUACCCAAACCUUCAGCUCCCUCACAUCGCCCACCCAGACCUUUUAAAUGCUCUUUGACAAUUUAACUGAUUCCUUCACAACUUCUUUCCUGCGGGUGCAUAAGUGCAGCUCCAAGGAGCACUCAUUGUGGCCUCCUCCAAGUGCCCCAUCACAGCCCAUGCCAAACAAACACCACUGAGUGUGUUUGUCCGUGAGUGCCUUUGAAAAACAGCAAAUACUGCGGUGGGAAGCAAACACACGGGAAGCUCAUACUAAAAAGCCUUUCUAAUCUGCUAGCUGUCACUGUGAGAUCUCUGCCCUUCAGGUCAGAAGGGCUUUUGUUUGCUCUUCAUUUUUCUUGAGAGUGCUUCUCUACCAACAGCAAACGAGAGGAAGCAGCAGCAGAUCGUGCUGAGGUACUGUGUGAGCAUGGGGGGAUCUGCUGACACUGCUUGGGAGAGGAGGAGCACCAACACACCCCAAUGUGCAGACAGAUCCCUUCAUGCUCCCUUUUCCUGCUGCUGAAAACUUGGAAACUUCUACAAAGCUGUGAUUCCUCCUGAAGGAGAGAAGCUGAAGGGUUCUGGGUAUCUGCAGGGCUGAGAAAAGAGCUGAUUUAUUGUCGCCUCAGAGUGAAAAUCCAGCUCCCCUUCAUAGCAUGUCCUUGUCUUUAUUUUAAAGGGAUUUGGGGAUGACACCAUUUCUGCAGUACGGUGGAGUUUGUUAACCCCGUAGUGCUCACAUGGCUGAAAUAAUUACACACAAAGGAACUCAGAGUGUUCCUUUGGAUUGGGUAAAAGGAUAUUAAAAUCCUGGUCAGUACUUUGGGACUACGGAGAGUGCUUGGCAUCCUUCCCUCGAGACCACAGAACAGGCAGCAGGACAAGGAUUUAAUGCAGUGCAAAUAGAAGCAAAGAGAGAAGAUGAGGAUUUGUGUAUUUAUUCUACUGGUAGAACCAACUCACAUUAGCUUAUAGCUGAAUGAACAUCUGUACUCUCCGAAUAAAAGCAAAGAUGUAGCUGGUCCAUUAAAAAGGACGUUGUUUGCUGCUUUCAGAGCACUGUGCACCACGACAGCCUUCUGAUAGCUCAUGGCUCAUGGAAUUAUUCAGUCUUUUUCCCUGAAGGGCCUCUGCAUUGCAGCGGUCCUCUUCCUUUUUCCCCCUGUUAGCGAUGCCCUACUUUGUUCACUGCUGCAGUCCCCCUCCCUUCCACCACAUCACAGCACUCAUGGAAAGCCUGCCCGCUCCCCAGCACACAGACAGCACAAACAGGCAGCACUCAGCCACCUUCUGCAGCUCCUGCAAACCCACCAGCACUGCGGGAACGGCCCAAGAAGAGCUUUAAGAUGCAGCCCUUUGCACACCGCGUUGGAGGGGUCACGCAAUGAUCCACACACGCACCGAUGAGCAGAGACUGCUGGGCUGUGUGACGGUCCCCGACUCACAGCUACUGACAGAGGAAGCAUCUAAUUGAUGCCUUAAUGAGAGCAGCUUUUUCUGCCAAGGCUUCCCAGGCAGAAGGAGGGAGCCCAACAAAAUCCCUUCAAACACCGCCCGCCGACAUUCAUACCCUGCUGGCCUGCAUUAAGCUUAGAACUAUUCAGUGUUUCUCCCGUUGAAGUCAAUCAGUUCCACAUAUUUGCCAAGUCUGUCAAAGUAUACACAGCAAUAACAGCACAGUAACACAUUUCAAAUCUUUGUAGUUACAGCAAUAUUUUGAAGUUAAGCUCAUAUCAAAGCAAUAUAUCCACAGUAGAUUUCCCAAAGCAUGCAAUUCUGUGGUGAUUCUGUGACUGAAUUGCAGUUGCUACACUGGCAGCUCACAGACAAAAUGAGAUGAGGUUAAUUGACUGAGCAACAAACAGAACCAGCAUAUUAGCUCAUUAUUGCUCGUCUUCAGUACGGCCCUGUGCAAACAACUGCUCCCGUGAUUUCUUUACUGUAACACCAAUAUUAGUUUGUCUGAAGACUCAGGAUCUGACCCUACCGUAUUUGUCUCCUGUACAGAGCAGAGCAAACAGGCACUUAACAAAUGGGUCACCUAACACGAACAUAAGGACUUUGCUAAGACUGCAUAAAAUGCAGUGCUGCAGCAGCUGACUCUCUGGUGAAGAAAGAUAAAAGCAGUGCUGCUUGUUCUUUUCCACCCUAUCAUGUCUGUUAACACAAACCAUCUCUUUGCCUUAGAUCUCCUUGCUCUGAGUUGGAAGCUGCUCCAGCAGUCGCACUCAGGAAGGGAAAUGAAGGCCCUGCCCAUCUUGUUCAAAUCGUCACCUUGACAACUUCUCAGACAAAGAGAAAAAUCAAUGAAUUUCAUGCAGUAGUACAGAAAUAACAGACCAGCCAGCAGAUCUGUUGCCUCCCUGCAGGCCGUGCUGACUCCUCAUUUCCUCCAAUAGCUUUUAGAAGCAGCACCAGUGGGCACAGGAAGAAGGCUUUGAUUAAUGCAGCACUGAGCAACAGACCUUCCCCAUGACACAGCCUCAGCCCUCUGCAUCCCUCCCCCACACCAGGGGUUGCUCCUCUCAUUCACAGUUCUACCAUUUGGUGAGCUUAGUUAAAGAACAUCAUGCACUUCUUACCAUCCAAAGACAGCCAGUCAUGCUGGGAGGAAGGCAGGGUUGGCAGAGCUCUGGCUUUGUAUUCAAACACCACAGAAUUGGAGAUGAUCUGAUUGUUGAAGGCAACUUGCAAAGUCACGAGCCCAGUGUCAUGAGCUAAAAGAGAAGAAGGAGCGGUGAGACAGAGACCUCCCUGCAGAAAUGCCCAAGUAGAUCCUGUUGGUGAACUCCCCAUGGGCAGGCUGACAGCAGAUGCAACGAGAGCAGAGGGAGCACUUGGCCAUAUUUUUCUGACUACACAACUGAAGAGUCCAGAAUGUCAAUCUGCAUUUUAAAACAGGCAGGUUUUAAAACCCAUUUAGGAGCCAUACAAUAGGUUACUUUGGCAUGAGGUAGGAUCGCACGUGCCCCAAAAUUAACCAACUUCACAGCAUUUCAAGUAGCAAGCUGGGGCCCAACAAUGAGGAUCGGUUAUUCUGCAUAUAUUGAAAGCCAAGAACUUCCUCUGAAGCCACCAGCUGCAGGAGAGCCAUUCCUUACCUGGGCAGUAGCAGCGCAGUACUCCUGGCUGAAUUAAAGAUGCAGGCACUGAGAUCUGAUCAAACAGACAGCUGUAAUUAUUGCUGGCUUCUUGCCAUGGACCAGUGAUUAGAACUUUCACUCCUCCCUACAAUGAACAGAGGGGAGAAAAGGAAGCAUCAUGAAAAGAGCCCUAUCCAGAGAGGACCUUGCACUGAAAUGGCUGAACAGCAAACAAAAUCACGAGGGCAGAUACAGAUCCUUGGCACCAGUAGCCACCAACAUCCCAGCACUCUGCAGAGCUUGCACAUCUCCGUCCACCUGCCCCACCAGGACUGCUCUGCUCACAGCAGCUGCUGCUGCAGCCUCUGGGACACCUCAUGGUGUGCCCUUCUUUGGCCACCAAACCUUACACUGUAGGAGAAACACAAACAGUAUUCCAUAACAGAGCAUCUCUGUUUCUCUUCACUCUCUCUGUUCCCUCCUCCUGCUGGCAGUGAUACACCUUGCACUUUUACUGGGUAUUGAGAACUUGGUUAAAAAAGGAAGCAUGAUCACACAGGGGUGACCCUGAAGGGGCUGCGCAAAAGCAGGGCUGCAAAGGGGUCCUUCAGCCCCAACUUUAGCAACUUGAGCCUGUCCUAGAUCUCUCUCCCUGCCCUGACAUGGGUCACAGUGGUGCUGUGUCAGCCAUAGGAGCACAAGGCUUUGGCAUCCGCCUCUCCUGCUGGUGGGAAAGGCACCAGCUGCAUCCAGCACGGACCUGCAGGAGUACAAUUGAGUUCCUCCUGCAGUCCUUGUGCCUCCUCCCCGAGGCCCAGCGUGGAGCUGGGCACCACCAGGACAUUCACCAUGCCGUGAUGGGAGUGCUCCUCUUCUGGAGACUGGAAAGCUGUGACAGGACAUACAUCUGGCAUAGGACAAACACCACUUUGCAUCAUUAGCAAGAUCCGCCAUACGCAGUUCAGCGCAGUGAGGCUGUGCACAGGAGCACAUGAGGCCAUCACAUGGAAAUACUUGGCCUUUCAAUGAAACAAAGCAUUUCUGUUCAGACGUUUCUAGGUGAAGAAAGG